rnacentral:rRNA from 1 species
CACGUAGGGUGCGAGCGUUGUCCGGAAUUAUUGGGCGUAAAGAGCUCGUAGGCGGUGUGUCGCGUCGGCCGUGAAAACCUGCAGCUUAACUGUGGGCUUGCGGUCGAUACGGGCAUCACUGGAGUUCGGCAGGGGAGACUGGAAUUCCUGGUGUAGCGGUGAAAUGCGCAGAUAUCAGGAGGAACACCGGUGGCGAAGGCGGUUCUCUGGGCCUGUACUGACGCUGAGGAGCGAAAGCGUGGGGAGCGAACAGG